UAUAGCCAUACCACCACUCUGAAUGUGCCCAGUCUCGUCUGAUCUCGGAAGCAGAGCUGGGCCUGGUUAGUACUUGGAUGGAAGACCAAUAGAGACUAUAAUAGCCACAC
rnacentral:rRNA from 1 species